AUAGCUGGUCGUGUCGUUUCGUGGCUAGUUGAUGUUCGUGGAUGCGGAUCGUUAGCUGUCUUCCUGUUUGUCGUAUAAAGUAUUUUGUGCAGUCUUUGCUCCACUAUAAUGUCC